AGCUCUAGUGGCCUAGUGGUUAUAGUGUCUGCCUUAGACGCAGGAAGGCAUGGGUUCGAUCCCCGGUCGAGUCA